GCCCCUAUCGUCUAGAGGCCAAGGACAUCUCCCUUUCACGGAGGAAACAGGGGUUCGACUCCCCUUGGGGGUA
rnacentral:tRNA from 2 species